UCGCGUAAUGAUGACAUGACGAUUCGAGUCGCCGACCACUGCUUCCUUCUUUCUGAACACAUUGAAUGCUUGCCGAGGAGGUAAUCGCAUUGCUUUGAGCCGUGGCAUGAGCCGCUGAACGCUG
rnacentral:snoRNA from 1 species